rnacentral:lncRNA from 1 species
UGCUCGCAUUAGAUUUCUAAAACUAGGGGAAAUAAUUUGCCUCUCCCUCCCAGCUAGUCUUAGAUUUUAAUACUAAACCAAGGGUUAUGCUUUAUCUUUCAUGAUUAUUUUUAUAGUGAAAAAUUUCAAGUUCUUGUCAUCUAGGAAAAUUUGCAUGCUGGAAUGUUAUUAGUUUUAGUGUUGACUUAGGAGAGUAACUUUACUCUCCAUGUUUCCUGUCCCAAUCUCUCCAUUCUCUCUAAAGGAGGAACAGUCUUCCAUUCCAAGCAGUAAGAGCAAAGCUGAGGACUCUACAGUGAGUUUUCUAAGGGCUGUUAAAACACAAUGGCAAAGUUAUUGUUUUAUAAAUUAACAAAAUGUAUAUGAUUGUAGUAAAGACCACCCACCAGCCAGAACACCAUCCACCAGACAGUUCAUGUUUUCUGUGUUGAUCACACUUGAAGCACACAUAAGCAGGAAGUAGUUGUUCCUAAAAUCAUUCUCUGUGGUUGACUUAGGCCAAGAGUCUCUAUUCUCUCAGCUUGAUGACCACUUCUCUUUGUUGCCUUGAAGGUCUAUAACUUCCCUUUGUGUAUCCUAAUGAAUGCUGUGACAGGACACUGAGUUGGAUUCAGGUGGGUGGCAGCAUCACCCCCACUGCACCUUGUUUAGAAUCAGAAUGCUCCAGAUCCCAGUUUUCUGCCUCCCUUCACUUUGUGUCUUCACUUUAGGGCUAUCUUUUCCCCAGAAAACUUAUUUUUGGUUAUAAUUUUGGUUGAGACUCUUAAUGGUAUUUCUCACUUCCUUUACAACAUUAUCAUUAUCUAAAUUUUUAAUAGUUUAUAAGUAAUUAUAUCGAUUAUCAAAUCAAUCAUCUAUUCUCACAAAUUUAAAUUUCAUCGAACCAGCGUUACCAUAGUACCAUAUUAUGAUCUUCAGAGCAACAACAACAACAAAAAUAAGCCAAUCAUGAGUGUCCUAAAAGAAAUUAUUGUGUUGGAAUACAAAUAUAAUCAGAAACUGAAUAUAUGUCCAGACACCAUUUUCUUUAUUUUUUGAGAAGUGUUCUAUAAAAGCAAUACACAAAGCAAGGCCAUGCCAUGGUUUUUGAACACAUGAAAGAUAUGUAAAAAGAUUAUAUUUCUAAGAAAAGUAUGAUAUACCUUUGGGCUAGAACCUCAUGGAAGAAGACAAACAUUUUGUAGGCCCUGAUUCUUUAAAGGAAUAUGAGAACCAGUCGAUUGCAACAGGGGCAACUCCAUAAAUUAUUGGACUUCUUAUAAAUCAAUGCUAUAUAUCUACUUCUCACAGUAAAUAGCACAGCAGUAAAGUUUCAUGGUUUAAAUAAGACAAGCUUAGCUUUACUAGUACGACUGGGAACCUAAGUCUGUGUUCCUAUUAUUUUAUUCAGAGGCAGAAGAAGUAAUUAAGAAAAUCACUUUUCAUCCAACUUCUGAAUUUCUUUUCAACAUUUUUUUUUUAAUGAAAAUGGUAAAUCAAGAAAAACCAAGUCAAGCCUGACAGUGUGUCUGUAACUCAGUCCUUUUAAAGUAGAGCCAGGGGAAAGGAGCUCAAGGUCGGUCUCCACCAGAAAGGAAGCUCAAGUCCAGCCUUAGCUAUAUAAAACCUGUUGAAAAUUUUUAAAGAAAAGAGAAUAAAAUUAAAAAAAAAUAAUAAAUAAUAACUAGUCAAAGCUCAAGCCACCUGUUGGUCCCUUCUAAUACAGAGCCUUCACUGAAAUCUUUACAACAUCUAACACAUGCACCUAGCACGUAUUUAACUGAAUUUGAGGAGAAUGGGCCCUUCUAUUUUUCUGUUGGUCCCUUCUAAUACAGAGCCUUCGCUGAAAUCUCUACAACAUCUAACACAUGCAGCUCUCAUAAGCACAGGGGUCCUUUAGGCUCAGGGCUCUGGAUAGUGUACAGAUACACACAUAUAACUGUUAAACUAAGUACCACUCUCUUAAGCCAAGGAAUAGGUUUGGGAUAGAUUAUUUAACAAUUAGUUUAUAAAAUUAUAAAAACGCAGAACCUGCAAUGCAGCUUUUUACACCAAGACAAUCAUCAAGAAAAUCCAUGAGCCAUUUAUUUUGAAAGAGUUUGCAUAUUGAGUUGAAGUGAUCAUUAUUUAUAUUUCUGUCAUAUACAUUUAAGUUGUUAUUGUUCUCUGGGGAGGGGGUGCGUGUGCGUGUGUGUGUGUGUGUGUGUGUGUGUGUGUGUGUGUGUGUGAGCACCCGUGGUGAGGUCACAGGGCAACUUGUAGAAGUCAUUUCCUUCCUCUUGUCAUGUGGGACCCAGGGAUUAAACUCAGAUCAUGAGGCUUGUUGGCAAAUACUCUUACCUGCAGAGCCAUCUUAGUAAUUUAGCUUAGUAAUUUAAGAAAACAUAUUUUUUCAUUAUAAGAUAGAUGAUGCUACAAAAUUAGACAAUUUGAUUCCAGCCAACUUCCAUGAGAUAAUGUUUAAAUUAGAUGUAAAACAUUAUCUAUUUGUGCAUUUUUAAGAAAGUUAAAAUUAACCUAAAGAUACCAGUUUUUUUGAAUGGAAAAUCGUUUGAUCACCUUUGACUAAACACUGUCCAUGUUUACUCCAAGCUCUGAUAUUUAGUGUCAAUAUUACAGUCUCAAUAGCAAGGAAAAAUGUUUGAGAAUUUUCUCCAUUUUUCUCAUGGAAAGAUUUCUACACUGUUAUUCCAAACUCAGUGGAAAUAACCUACUAUACUGUCAAAUGAUAUAGAAGUCAGAUGUGUUCUACAUUCGUCACAGAACCACCCUUGAUAUCUAUAUUGAUUUUAAGUUGAUACUAUCAAUAUAUGUGUUUCAGACUAGACAUUCUCUAGGAGAGCGUUUCUUCUUACCCUUUUCAUAGAAUUGUUUGCUGAUCAGCAGAACUUUUCAACUACAAAAGUAACUGUUGCUGUUGUAAAACACAAUCUCUGAAUUCUCUAUCCCACUCUAAGAACAUCCUAAGCAUUGUGUUUUACAUCAUUGAUAUUCUCAAGCAAAAGUGUAUGAGAAUUCCAUUCCAAUCUGCUUUGUGUCCCCAUCUUUCCUACAUGUACAUCCUAAU